AUGGCUUCCCCUCGCCAUCGCCAGGACGGAGACGGACCACACGACGGCGCGCCGACGUACGCCGGCAUGGCGAAGCUGGUGCCGGCGCUCCCGCUCGAGACGCGGUGCCCGCCGUUCGCGCUGCGGCGCUACGGCGGCUUCUGGCUGCCGGAGGCGGCCCUGCGGCGCGGCCUCCCGGCGUUGCACGCCGGGUUCGCGCCCAGGCGCGCAGACGUGCUCCUCGCCAGCUACCCCAAGUCCGGCACCACCUGGCUCAAGGCCCUCGCCUUCGCCACCGUCCGCCGCGCCGUGCACCCGCCUUCUUCCAUCGACCACCCGCUCCGCCGUCGCAACCCGCAGGACUGCGUCCCGUUCCUCGAGUUCGACUUCGACCACGGGGACAUGGCCGAGCUCGAGGCGCUCCCUUCCCCGCGGGUGCUCGCCACGCACCUCCCCUACUCGCUCCUCCCCGACCGCGUCGUCGCCGACGACGGCGCGCGGAUCGUGUACGUCUGCCGGGACCCCAAGGACGCGCUGGUCUCCUCGUGGCUCUUCACCAGGAAAGCGUCGCCGAGUGUCGGAGUGGACUCCGACUCCUACUCGCUGCAGGAGGCGGCCGAGCUUUUCCGCGAGGGCCGGUGCUUCUACGGCCCUCAGUGCCGGCACGUGCUCGAGUACUGGGACGCGAGCCGCCGUCCCUUCGGCGGCGGCGAGGUGCUGUUCCUGAGGUACGAGGAGAUGCUGCGCGACCCGGCGGGGAGUCUGAAGACGAUGGCGGAGUUCAUGGGAUGCGGCUUCUCCGAGGAGGAGGUGGCGCGAGGGGUGGUGGACGAGAUCGUGGACCUGUGCAGCCUGGAGAAGCUGAAGAACAUGGAGGCCAACAGGGACGGGCGGCGGAACGCGUCGGGCAUCAGGAGCGACUCUUUCUUCCGGAAGGGGGUCGCCGGGGACUGGAGCAGCCACAUGUCGCCGGAGAUGGGGAAGAUGCUGGACGAGGCCGUCGAGGAGGCACUCCAGGGGUCUGGGUUCAGCUUCUCUGGCUGA
rnacentral:rRNA from 1 species